UGGGGAAUAUUGGACAAUGGGGGCAACCCUGAUCCAGCAAUGCCGCGUGUGUGAAGAAGGUCUUCGGAUUGUAAAGCACUUUCGACGGGGACGAUGAUGACGGUACCCGUAGAAGAAGCCCCGGCUAACUUCGUGCCAGCAGCCGCGGUAAUACGAAGGGGGCUAGCGUUGCUCGGAAUGACUGGGCGUAAAGGGCGUGUAGGCGGUUUACACAGUCAGAUGUGAAAUCCCCGGGCUUAACCUGGGAGCUGCAUUUGAUACGUGUAGAC
rnacentral:rRNA from 1 species